AUUUCUCACCAGUUUUAAUCACAGAACAGGCAAAGCCCAACACGAGAUAUUUCAGUAUAUUCCAUGGUUGUAAUUGUAAUUUCAGUAUUAUGUAAAAUAAAGAGGUCCAAAGAUCCUGUAUAAUUUUUGGUCCAAACAAAUUAGGCUUUAUAAUUAUGGUGGAGUAUGCUAUUGUUUGGUAGAAUUCCAGAUCAUUCAAGAUUAUCUAAAUUCGCUGUUCCUAAGAACUUAAGGAGGAAAACAAAAUAAACUAAAAGGCAUUGAAAAGUGUCAUUAAACAACAGUAGAGCAAGAAAACUGAGUUUUAGCUCAAAUUUUUAAACUGAAUCUUUCACAUUUAAUCCGUAGGAAUCCGAAUUGGUAAUGUAGAUAUGGAAAGGCCUCAAGUUUAUUCAAGCAAUAGAUAUGAGGAUGCG
rnacentral:misc_RNA from 1 species